rnacentral:rRNA from 1 species
UACGUAGGGGGCAAGCGUUGUCCGGAAUCAUUGGGCGUAAAGAGCGCGUAGGCGGCCCUGUAAGUCCGCUGUGGAAGUCAAGGGCUCAACCCUUGGAUGCCGGUGGAUACUGCAGGGCUAGAGUCCGGAAGAGGCGAGUGGAAUUCCUGGUGUAGCGGUGAAAUGCGUAGAUAUCAAGAGGAACACCUGCGGCGAAGGCGGGUUGCUGGGCCGACACUGACGCUGAGGCGCGAAAGCCAGGGGAGCGAACGGG